rnacentral:piRNA from 1 species
UUCCCCUAUUUCCCUGGACAAAACGUUGA